AGCGAACGCUGGCGGCAGGCCUAACACAUGCAAGUCGAACGAACUCUUCGGAGUUAGUGGCGGACGGGUGAGUAACACGUGGGAACGUGCCUUUUGGUUCGGAAUAACUCAGGGAAACUUGUGCUAAUACCGAAUGUGCCCUUCGGGGGAAAGAUUUAUCGCCAUUAGAGCGGCCCGCGUCUGAUUAGCUAGUUGGUGAGGUAACGGCUCACCAAGGCGACGAUCAGUAGCUGGUCUGAGAGGAUGACCAGCCACACUGGGACUGAGACACGGCCCAGACUCCUACGGGAGGCAGCAGUGGGGAAUCUUGCGCAAUGGGCGAAAGCCUGACGCAGCCAUGCCGCGUGAAUGAUGAAGGUCUUAGGAUUGUAAAAUUCUUUCACCGGGGACGAUAAUGACGGUAGCCGGAGAAGAAGCCCCGGCUAACUUCGUG
rnacentral:rRNA from 1 species